CGCGUAGGCGGCUUUGCGUGUCUUCCGUGAAAUCCCUCGGCUCAACCGAGGACGUGCGGAAGAAACUGCAAGGCUCGAGUCCGGAAGAGGGGGCGGGAAUUCCCAGUGUAGCGGUGAAAUGCGUAGAUAUUGGGAGGAACACCAGUGGCGAAGGCGGUCCCCUGGGCCGGAACUGACGCUGAGGCGCGAAAGCGUGGGUAGCAAACG
rnacentral:rRNA from 1 species